rnacentral:rRNA from 1 species
GACGAACGCUGGCGGCGUGCUUAACACAUGCAAGUCGAACGGAAAGGCCCUGCUUUUGUGGGGUGCUCGAGUGGCGAACGGGUGAGUAACACGUGAGUAACCUGCCCUUGACUUUGGGAUAACUUCAGGAAACUGGGGCUAAUACCGGAUAGGAGCUCCUGCUGCAUGGUGGGGGUUGGAAAGUUUCGGCGGUUGGGGAUGGACUCGCGGCUUAUCAGCUUGUUGGUGGGGUAGUGGCUUACCAAGGCUUUGAAGGGUAGCCGGCCUGAGAGGGUGACCGGCCACAUUGGGACUGAGAUACGGCCCAGACUACUACGGGAGGCAGCAGUGGGGAAUAUUGCACAAUGGGCGGAAGCCUGAUGCAGCAACGCCGCGUGCGGGAUGACGGCCUUCGGGUUGUAAACCGCUUUCGCCUGUGACGAAGCGUGAGUGACGGUAAUGGGUAAAGAAGCACCGACUAACUACGUG